rnacentral:rRNA from 1 species
UACGGGGGGGGCAAGCGUUGUUCGGAUUUACUGGGCGUAAAGGGCGCGUAGGCGGCCACCGCAAGUCAAUUGUGAAAUCUCCGGGCUUAACUCGGAAAGGUCAACUGAUACUGCGGGGCUAGAGUGCGGAAGGGGCAACUGGAAUUCUCGGUGUAGCGGUGAAAUGCGUAGAUAUCGAGAGGAACACCUGCGGCGAAGGCGGGUUGCUGGGCCGACACUGACGCUGAUGCGCGAAAGCCAGGGGAGCGAACGGG